rnacentral:rRNA from 1 species
AUACGUAGGGUGCGAGCGUUGUCCGGAAUUACUGGGCGUAAAGAGCUCGUAGGUGGUUUGUCGCGUCGUCUGUGAAAUUCCGGGGCUUAACUCCGGGCGUGCAGGCGAUACGGGCAUAACUUGAGUACUGUAGGGGAGACUGGAAUUCCUGGUGUAGAGGUGAAAUGCGCAGAUAUCAGGAGGAACACCGGUGGCGAAGGCGGGUCUCUGGGCAGUAACUGACGCUGAGGAGCGAAAGCAUGGGUAGCGAACAGGAUUAGAUACCCUGGUAGUCCAUGCCGUAAACGGUGGGCGCUAGGUGUAGGGGUCUUCCACGACUUCUGUGCCGUAGCUAACGCAUUAAGCGCCCCGCCUGGGGAGUACGGCCGCAAGGCUAAAACUCAAAUGAAUUGACGGGG